rnacentral:rRNA from 1 species
AACGAACGCUGGCGGCAUGCCUAACACAUGCAAGUCGAGCGCCCGUAGCAAUACGGGAGCGGCGCACGGGUGAGUAACGCGUGGGAACCUGCCCAGAGGUCUGGGACAACCGCGGGAAACUGCGGCUGAUACCGGAUGAUUCCUGAGGGACAAAGAUUUAUCGCCUUUGGAGGGGCCCGCGUCGGAUUAGGUAGUUGGUGGGGUAACGGCUCACCAAGCCUAUGAUCCGUAACUGGUCUGAGAGGAUGACCAGUCACACUGGGACUGAGACACGGCCCAGACUCCUACGGGAGGCAGCAGUGGGGAGUAUUGCGCAAUGGGCGAAAGCCUGACGCAGCGACGCCGCGUGGGUGAUGAAGGCCU